GUGCUCACUUCAGCACAUCUACUAAAAUUGGAGCAAUAUGAGAAGAUUAGCAUGACCCCUGUGCAAGGAUGACACGCAAAUUUGUGAAGUGUUCCUUUUUUUU